CACAUUACGCAAUGGCAGUAUUGUAGCCAAUGAGAUUAAUCUGAGGCACAAUUCUUGCUAAUUGAAACACAAGGCUUUGUUUUGUAUUGUAUUUUGUAGUUGACCAAAAAGAAGUAUGACCUUUUGCCAUCAGAGUGG
rnacentral:snRNA from 1 species